CCCCGGCUUGAAAGCCGGGGCUGAAUUGAGCCGGCCUUUCAGGCCG
rnacentral:sRNA from 1 species